CAUCGAUGAAGAACGCAGCGAAAUGCGAUAAGUAGUGUGAAUUGCAGAAUUCAGUGAAUCAUCGAAUCUUUGAACGCACAUUGCGCCCCUUGGUAUUCCAUGGGGCAUGCCUGUUCGAGCGUCAUUUGUACCUUCAAGCUAUGCUUGGUGUUGGGU
rnacentral:rRNA from 2 species